GCCCUUGUAGUUCAAUGGAUAGAGCGCAAGCCUCCGGAGCUUGAAAUAGAGGUUCAAAUCCUCUCAAGGGCA
rnacentral:tRNA from 1 species